AAAAAAAAUUAAAAUUUAAAGUUCAUAUAGAAUUUAUGUUGUUUCCAAUAACUAAGAACAUGAUACCUCCCUUAAAAAGCAUUCCAAAUCUUUCUUUUAGAAUGAGUUAGUCAAGUAACAUCUUAGAAGGCCCUAGAAUCAAGGAUUUUGCACGAAACGUGUUCAGUGUGCACAAAAUGUGCUCAACGUCUGGGGGCCUGGGGCCCCAGACCCCCGCCUAAUUUCCUGCCUCCUCCAAAUUGAAGGUUAAUUUACGGCCCUGCAGUGUGCAAUACAUUAUUGACUGACAGAACGUAAUUCAUGAGCUGUGAUCUAAAAAUCUUCCAGACAUUAAUAUAGAUUUGAAUAGAAUUACAUCUAGAUACAUAUUUGAAAUGGAAUAUAUCCUAAGGCACUGUAGUUUUAAAUUGUUUGGAUUAUAUUGCAUUUACAUGUAAUUUAUACAUGCUUGUAAAUGCCACAGAAUGAGAAAUAAUCUAAAUUGGUCUAUUUCAUAAUGUUCCCAAAAUAGAAGUAUCAUGUAGAUCUAUACAGGAAAUAACAUUUACAAAUCAUGUUUGUUGUUUGUUAUUUGCCAGUUAAGGUAUUCAAUGUAUAAUGACCAUAUUUCAUAUCUAAUAAAUGGAUCGUGGAAUAUUUGUAAUCAUGGUAUCAUUGUGAAGGGUUCAUCAAAUAAAAAUAACCCACGGUAGGAAUUUUCUAAAUUUUGUUUACUGCUUGAUAUAUUUCACCUAGAAUUUAACAUUGAAGUAUAUGGGAAAAGCAUCUUUUAUUACAAUAUUUUAAAAACAAAUUAUAUAUUCAUACUAAUCUCUUGGUAGAAAGUUACAUACACUUUCUUUUUAUGAAAAUAUGAAAUAAAAUUAAUCAUUGACCACACACAUUUUUAGAAAAUUAGAUUUUCCUUAUUUUUACAAAGGGCAGACAACUCUUCCAAAAAGUCUUAAGUGCAAAAAGGUCAGCUUCUAAUCAUUUACCAGUCAUGUGAAUUUCAUCUGCUUCACUUCCAUCAUUAUUUAACAAUAAAGUUUUAUGUUGAUCUAAAUCCUUCAAAAUUGUUCAUUAUCCUUUCAUUAUACAUGGAAUACCUUAAGUAUCAUAAUGAUAAUACUAGUAUUUCAUGAUAAGUAAUUAUUAUGCUAAAAUCAAAUACCCUUUUUAUUGUCAACAAAUACAUCACUGGUAGAAAGGUUAUAAAGCUUUUAUCUAGCACAAGUUUCCAUAUUCUACAGGUUUACAUAUGUCAGCAAGUCCUCAAAAGCAGCUUUAGGGGUUCCCAGGAGAUUCUGAUGCUCACUGUGAUUUGUACAGAAGCGAAUGAUGGCCUCUUUUGAAAUUAAGAUUUCAUGCCUUACUCCUACUGGGACUACAACUAACUUUGGACCUGGUCACUCGCAGAUACAGCAUGAAGUGUGCCCUCUUGAUGUACAUGGGGAUGGGAGUGAUACAGAAGGGGGACUAAUUGGAAGAACUGCUACUGCUGGUGGUGGUGCUGGACUGUCUUGAAUCUGUUGCCUAACCGACUUGAUAUUCUUCUGUUUAAUAUGGGAGCAACACACACACUCUGGCAUAUAUUGCACAGAAAAUCAUGAUCAGAUGGUGCCCUCCCUAUCAGAGUGGUGAUCACUGUCCUAUAUUUCUUUGAAAUCCUGGAUCUGUGUUUUGGUUUUACUCUCCAUGGACAGUUGAAACAGAGAAAGAAUUAGGGACCACUCCUUGGCAUAUCUGAAAUAUUUAUGUCAUAUACAUGUAAUUAAAAUAUACAAUUUGGGUUGGAUGAAAAUCUUAUCUUCAUGUUAAAACCCAUUAGCCUAGGUUAUUUUUCCUAAAAUCUAAUUAUAAAUCAAUUAACUUGUUAAUUAAUGCUUGGUGAAUCAAUUAAUAAAUUGUAUUCAAAAACUUGAAAUUAUUUUUUUUCCACUAAUAAACUGAAAAUGUGUAUCUUCAAA